rnacentral:rRNA from 1 species
AACGAACGCUGGCGGCAUGCCUAACACAUGCAAGUCGAACGAGACCUUCGGGUCUAGUGGCGCACGGGUGCGUAACGCGUGGGAACCUGCCCUUAGGUUCGGAAUAACUCCCCGAAAGGGGUGCUAAUACCAGAUAAUGUCUUCGGACCAAAGAUUUAUCGCCUUUGGAUGGGCCCGCGUUGGAUUAGCUAGUUGGUAGGGUAAAAGCCUACCAAGGCGACGAUCCAUAGCUGGUCUGAGAGGAUGAUCAGCCACACUGGGACUGAGACACGGCCCAGACUCCUACGGGAGGCAGCAGUGGGGAAUAUUGGACAAUGGGCGAAAGCCUGAUCCAGCAAUGCCGCGUGAGUGAUGAAGGCCUUAGGGUUGUAAAGCUCUUUUAACCGGGAUGAUAAUGACAGUACCGGGAGAAUAAGCGCCGGCUAACUCCGUG